GUGGGGAAUCUUGCGCAAUGGGCGAAAGCCUGACGCAGCCAUGCCGCGUGAAUGAUGAAGGUCUUAGGAUUGUAAAAUUCUUUCACCGGGGACGAUAAUGACGGUACCCGGAGAAGAAGCUCCGGCUAACUUCGUGCCAGCAGCCGCGGUAAUACGAAGGGGGCUAGCGUUGCUCGGAAUUACUGGGCGUAAAGGGCGCGUAGGCGGACAGCUUAGUCAGAGGUGAAAGCCCAGGGCUCAACCUUGGAAUUGCCUUUGAUACUGGCUGUCUUGAGUGUGGGAGAGGUGAGUGGAACUCCGAGUGUAGAGGUGAAAUUCGUAGAUAUUCGGAGGAACACCAGUGGCGUAGGCGCCCAACUGGCUAGAUACUGACGCUGAGGCACGAAAGCGUGGGGAGCAAACAGGAUUAGAUACCCUGGUAGUCC
rnacentral:rRNA from 1 species